rnacentral:rRNA from 1 species
AUUGAACGCUAGCGGGAUGCUUUACACAUGCAAGUCGAACGAGUGGCGGAAGGGUGAGUAAUAUAUCGGAACGUGCCCAGUAGCGGGGGAUAACUACUCGAAAGCGUGGCUAAUACCGCAUAAACUUGGCGCGGCGGAUAUCGGAUUAGCUAGUUGGUGGGGUAAAGGCCCACCAAGGCAACGAUCCGUAGCUGGUUUGAGAGGACGACCAGCCACACUGGGACUGAGACACGGCCCAGACUCCUACGGGAGGCAGCAGUGGGGAAUUUUGGACAAUGGGGGAAACCCUGAUCCAGCCAUCCCGCGUGUAUGAGAAGGCCUUCGGGUUGUAAAGUACUUUUGGCAGAGAAGCGGUAUCUGCAGAAUAAGCACCGGCUAACUACGUGCCAGCCGCCGCGGUAAUAC